AUUGAACGCUGGCGGCAGGCCUAACACAUGCAAGUCGAGCGAGCGGCGGACGGGUGAGUAAUGUCUUGGAAACUGCCUGAUGGCGGGGGUUAACUACUGGACACGGUAGCUAAUACCGCAUACCAUCAGAUGUGCCCAGAGGGGAUGUGCUAGUCGGUGGGGUAACGGCUGACCUAGGCGACGAUCCCUAGUUGGGCUGAGAGGAUGACAAGCCACACGGGAACUGAGACACGGUCCAGACGACUACGGGAGGCAGCAGGGGGGAAUAUUGCACAAUGGGCGAAAGCCUGAUGCAGCCAUGCCGCGUGUGUGAAGAAGGCCUUCGGGUUGUAAAGCACUUUCAGCGGGGAGGCGUUACCCGCAGAAGAAGCACCGGCUAACUCCGUGCCAGCAGCCGCGGUAAUUC
rnacentral:rRNA from 1 species